rnacentral:rRNA from 1 species
UGCAAGUCGAGCGAGACUCUUCGGAGUCUAGCGGCGGACGGGUGAGUAACACGUGGGCAACCUGCCUGUAAGACUGGGAUAACACCGGGAAACCGGUGCUAAUACUGGAUAAUCCUUUUCCUCUCAUGAGGAAAAGCUGAAAGACGGUUUCGGCUGUCACUUACAGAUGGGCCCGCGGCGCAUUAGCUAGUUGGUGAGGUAACGGCUCACCAAGGCAACGAUGCGUAGCCGACCUGAGAGGGUGAUCGGCCACACUGGGACUGAGACACGGCCCAGACUCCUACGGGAGGCAGCAGUAGGGAAUCUUCCACAAUGGACGAAAGUCUGAUGGAGCAACGCCGCGUGAGCGAUGAAGGCCUUCGGGUCGUAAAGCUCUGUUGUUAGGGAAGAACAAGUACCGGAGUAACUGCCGGUACCUUGACGGUACCUAACCAGAAAGCCACGGCUAACUACGUGCCAGCAGCCGCGGUAAUACGUAGGUGGCAAGCGUUGUCCGGAAUUAUUGGGCGUAAAGCGCGCGCAGGCGGUCCUUUAAGUCUGAUGUGAAAGCCCACGGCUCAACCGUGGAGGGUCAUUGGAAACUGGGGGACUUGAGUGCAGAAGAGGAAAGCGGAAUUCCACGUGUAGCGGUGAAAUGCGUAGAGAUGUGGAGG